rnacentral:rRNA from 1 species
UACGGAGGGUGCAAACGUUGCUCGGAAUCAUUGGACGUAAAGCGCACGUAGGCGGCCUGUUAAGUCGGAUGUGAAAGCCCUCGGCUCAACCGAGGAAGUGCAUACGAAACUGGCAGGCUUGAAUAUGGAAGAGGGUCGCGGAAUUCCCGGUGUAGAGGUGAAAUUCGUAGAUAUCGGGAGGAACACCAGUGGCGAAGGCGGCGACCUGGGCCAAUAUUGACGCUGAGGUGCGAAAGCGUGGGGAGCAAACAGG